GACGAACGCUGGCGGCGUGCUUAACACAUGCAAGUCGAACGGUGAAGCGCCUUCCUUUUUGGUGGGUGUGGAUGAGUGGCGAACGGGUGAGUAACACGUGAGUAACCUGCCCCCUUCUUCUGGAUAACCGCAUGAAAGUGUGGCUAAUACGGGAUAUUCUGGGUCUGUCGCAUGAUGGGUCUGGGAAAGAUAUUGUUUCGGUGGGGGAUGGGCUCGCGGCCUAUCAGCUUGUUGGUGGGGUGAUGGCCUACCAAGGCGGUGACGGGUAGCCGGCCUGAGAGGGUGGACGGUCACACGGGGACUGGGACACGGCCCAGACUCCUACGGGAGGCAGCAGUGGGGAAUAUUGCACAGUGGGCGCAAGCCUGAUGCAGCGACGCCGCGUGAGGGAUGGAGGCCUUCGGGUUGUGAACCUCUUGCGCCAGUGAAGCAGGCCUGCCUCGUUUGUGGGUGGGUUGACGGUAGCUGGAUAAGAAGCGCCGGCUAACUACGU
rnacentral:rRNA from 1 species